UGGGGAAUAUUGCACAAUGGGGGAAACCCUGAUGCAGCGACGCCGCGUGAACGAAGAAGGUAUUCGUAUCGUAAAGUUCUGUCCUAUGGGAAGAUAAUGACAGUACCAUAGAAGAAAGCUCCGGCUAAAUACGUGCCAGCAGCCGCGGUAAUACGUAUGGAGCGAGCGUUGUCCGGAAUUAUUGGGCGUAAAGGGUACGCAGGCGGUUUAAUAAGUCGAAUGUUAAAGAUCGGGGCUCAACCCCGCAAAGCAUUGGAAACUGAUAAACUUGAGUAGUGGAGAGGAAAGUGGAAUUCCUAGUGUAGUGGUGAAAUACGUAGAUAUUAGGAGGAAUACCAGUAGCGAAGGCGACUUUCUGGACACAAACUGACGCUGAGGUACGAAAGCGUGGGGAGCAAACAGG
rnacentral:rRNA from 2 species